UACGUAGGGUGCGAGCGUUAAUCGGAAUUACUGGGCGUAAAGCGUGCGCAGGCGGAUGUUUAAGUCAGAUGUGAAAUCCCCGGGCUCAACCUGGGAAUGGCAUUUGAAACUGGGCAUCUAGAGUGCGUCAGAGGGGGGUGGAAUUCCACGUGUAGCAGUGAAAUGCGUAGAGAUGUGGAGGAACACCGAUGGCGAAGGCAGCCCCCUGGGAUGACACUGACGCUCAUGCACGAAAGCGUGGGGAGCAAACAGGAUUAGAUACCCUGGUAGUCCACACCCUAAACGAUGAAUACUCGAUGUUGGAAUUUUUCAGCAUCCAAGUUAACACGAUAAGUAUUCCACCUGGGGAGUACGAUCGCAAGGUUG
rnacentral:rRNA from 1 species